GUGGGGAAUCUUAGACAAUGGGGGAAACCCUGAUCUAGCCAUGCCGCGUGAGCGAUGAAGGCCUUAGGGUUGUAAAGCUCUUUCAGCUGGGAAGAUAAUGACGGUACCAGCAGAAGAAGCCCCGGCUAACUCCGUGCCAGCAGCCGCGGUAAUACGGAGGGGGCUAGCGUUGUUCGGAAUUACUGGGCGUAAAGCGCACGUAGGCGGAUCAGAAAGUCAGAGGUGAAAUCCCAGGGCUCAACCUUGGAACUGCCUUUGAAACUCCUGGUCUUGAGGUCGAGAGAAGUGAGUGGAAUUCCGAGGGUAGAGGUGAAAUUCGUAGAUAUUCGGAGGAACACCAGUGGCGAAGGCGGCUCACUGGCUCGAUACUGACGCUGAGGUGCGAAAGCGUGGGGAUCAAACAGGAUUAGAAACCCUGGUAGUCC
rnacentral:rRNA from 1 species